rnacentral:lncRNA from 1 species
GAAAGGAGAAGAAUGAAGAGUUGGAUGUGGAGUUUUUCUUGGGAGAAAGCACAGAUCCCCCCACUGAGGUCAUCACCAAUGGUGUUUUGGCUCACCCUUGUCUGUGUGUCCAAGGCACCGUGGAUAAAAGUGAGAAAAGCCAGUGGUUAAUACAGGGUAAGUCUACCUGUGCUUUGUCAUGCCCCACCCUCUUGAGGGUCU